GACAGAGGGUGCAAACGUUGUUCGGAAUUACUGGGCGUAAAGCGCGUGUAGGCGGUCCGGUAAGUCCGCUGUGAAAGUCGGGGGCUCAACCCUCGGAUGCCGGUGGAUACUGUCGGGCUUGAGUACGGAAGAGGCGAGUGGAAUUCCUGGUGUAGCGGUGAAAUGCGCAGAUAUCGGGAGGAACGCCGGUGGCGAAGGCGGUUCUCUGGGCCUGACCUGACGCUGAGGAGCGAAAGCGUGGGGAGCGAACAGG
rnacentral:rRNA from 1 species